rnacentral:rRNA from 1 species
GGGAAUAUUGGACAAUGGGCGAAAGCCUGAUCCAGCAAUGCCGCGUGAGUGAUGAAGGCCUUAGGGUUGUAAAGCUCUUUUACCCGGGAAGAUAAUGACUGUACCGGGAGAAUAAGCUCCGGCUAACUCCGUGCCAGCAGCCGCGGUAAUACGGGGGGAGCUAGCGUUGUUCGGAAUUACUGGGCGUAAAGCGCACGUAGGCGGCUAUUCAAGUCAGAGGUGAAAGCCCGGGGCUCAACCCCGGAACUGCCUUUGAAACUAGAUAGCUUGAAUCCAGGAGAGGUGAGUGGAAUUCCGAGUGUAGAGGUGAAAUUCGUAGAUAUUCGGAAGAACACCAGUGGCGAAGGCGGCUCACUGGACUGGUAUUGACGCUGAGGUGCGAAAGCGUGGGGAGCAAAC